rnacentral:tRNA from 1 species
UAGAAGUUUAGGUUAUACAGACCAGGGACCUUCAAAGUCCCAAGAAAAUAUAGACUAUUUAACUUCUG